rnacentral:rRNA from 1 species
GACGAACCGUGCGAACGUUGUUCGGAAUCACUGGGCUUAAAGGGCGCGUAGGCGGGCCAUAAAGUCAGGGGUGAAAUCCUCCAGCUUAACUGGAGAACUGCCUUUGAUACUGAUGGUCUCGAAGUAAGGGUAGGGGCAUGCGGAACUGAUGGUGGAGCGGUAGAAAUGUGUUGAUUAUCAUCAGGAACUCCGGUGGCGAAGGCGCAUGCUGGACCUUCACUGACGCUGAGGCGACGAAAGCUAGGGGAGCGAACGGG